rnacentral:rRNA from 1 species
CGGGGAAUAUUGGACAAUGGGCGCAAGCCUGAUCCUUNAANGCCGCGUGUGUGAAGAAGGCCUGAGGGUUGUAAAGCACUUUCAAUUGUGAAGAAGUUAUUGUAGUUAAUACCUGCGAUGAUUGACAUUAGCUUUAGAAGAAGCACCGGCUAACUCUGUGCCAGCAGCCGCGGUAAUACAGAGGGUGCAAGCGUUAAUCGGAAUUACUGGGCGUAAAGCGCGCGUAGGCGGUUUGUUAAGUUGGAUGUGAAAUCCCAGGGCUCAACCUUGGAACUGCAUCCAAAACUGGCAAGCUAGAGUUUGGUAGAGGAGAGUGGAAUUCCCUGUGUAGCAGUGAAAUGCGUAGAUAUAGGGAGGAACAUCAGUGGCGAAGGCGACUCUCUGGACCAAAACUGACGCUGAGGUGCGAAAGCGUGGGUAGCGAACGGGAUUAGAUACCCCGGUAGUCCACGCCGUAAACGAUGAGAACUAGCUGUUGGGACUGUCGUGGUCUUGGUAGCGUAGCUAACGCGUUAAGUUCUCCGCCUGGGGAGUACGGUCGCAAGAUUAAAACUCAAAGGAAUUGACGGGGACCCGCACAAGCGGUGGAGCAUGUGGUUUAAUUCGAUGCAACGCGAAGAACCUUACCAUCCCUUGACAUCCUGUGAACUGAGUAGAGAUAUUCAGGUGCCUUCGGGAGCACAGUGACAGGUGCUGCAUGGCUGUCGUCAGCUCGUGUCGUGAGAUGUUGGGUUAAGUCCCGCAACGAGCGCAACCCUUGUCUCUAGUUGCCAGCACUUCGGGUGGGAACUCUAGAGAGACUGCCGGUGAUAAACCGGAGGAAGGUGGGGACGACGUCAAGUCAUCAUGGCCCUUAUGGGAUGGGCUACACACGUGCUACAAUGGGCAGUACAAAGGGUUGCUAAGCCGCGAGGUGGUGCGAAUCUCAAAAAACCGUUCGUAGUCCGGAUUGGAGUCUGCAACUCGACUCCAUGAAGUCGGAAUCGCUAGUAAUCGUGAAUCAGAAUGUCGCGGUGAAUACGUUCCCGGGUCUUGUACACACCGCCCGUCACACCAUGGGAGUGGAUUGCACCAGAAGUCGAUAGCCUAACCUUCGGGAGGGCGUCGCCCACGGUGUGGUUCAUGACUGGGGUGAAGUCGUAACAAGGUAACC